GGGCGGGGUCCGGCGCCGGCGUCGGGCCGCGGAAGGCGCGGAAGGCGGGUUCACCUGGCGGUAGUGCAGCGUGAGCGGCAGCAGCUCCCCAGUCCUCGGUCACGGGGCCAAGCUUCUCACGACCCAGCCCGGGAUGUCGGACAGCAUCAUUUCCACUGCGUCCUAUGGGCCAGAAAGGCAGUGUGCUUCCCAGCCUUGGCCUGGCCACAUAGUGUCCUGGAGGCCAGAGUGAACAUCCGCCAGAGAGCCCAUCCUAGAAGCUGGUCCCGUCCUGCCCGGCGGGCC